GAGUGAUACAAAAGCUAUAGUCCACAUUAAUGGGAUAUUACGAGAAAUUGAUAGACAAUGUAUCGAGUGCACUCCAUUAAGUGGUGUCUUCAAAUCAACUAUCCAAUUGAGUUCUGCAAUCCUCUUUUCAAGGAAAUGCUAAUACGUUGGGUUGGGCGGAAUGAUUGUUUUGUUUUAAAGCAAACACUUGUGCCAUUUA
rnacentral:lncRNA from 1 species